CAUAUUCCAAGCAUAUAUAUGUGUGUGUGUAUAUAUGUAUGUAUAUGCAAAUAUUGGAAGAUUAGUUGGCUGGAUGAUGGAUUGCAAAAUGUUUGCCACUGCAAUUUGGAAUUUCCAUUUCUCAUUUUGUUUUAAUUUUUAUAAUAGUUUUAUUAGUUUAACCAUAUUAGUAAUUUCAGUUUUGCUUUUUAAAUGGAUUAAUGGGUUUCCUACUUUGCUUGACAUCAAAGUUCUUAACUACAUAACUAGAUUACCGAAAAUAAGACUUGAAUUUGAGUCUUCAUCCCUCGUACCGAAAAAUGACUUAAAUUUCACCUUUUUCUGUUGAUUAAUGUCAUAACUUAUGUGCUUUAGCUUUUCGUUCUGAUUCUUCAUAUUGGCGAAGAUAUUGUUUCUUCUUUGUCGUAAUCCUCUUUUUGUAUCACCUUAUUCCUUGAAAUAAAAUGAAGUGUCAACUCUAGGACAAGUAAAAAUUGGUGCAUGCUAGUGAUAUCUCUGGACAGUAGCUGACAAUGAGUGAAUCACCAGAUAGUGGCAAAUUGCAAAUGAAUAAUAUCAGCCAUACAACAGUCACAUUUAUUUUGUGUAUCUAAUUGUUGAUCCACACACAUAUACACAAGGUUGUUCAUAAGAUUGUUGCAUAUAAUUUGUUACUUGCUCAAUUUAAAUAUACAUUGUCCGUACUUGUUUUGAAAUUAAAAAUGUUGGUAACCUACUUAUUACUUUGGCUGCUAAUUGAUUAGUUUCUAAUGUUAUAAUUUUAUGGUUCAAAAAGUUUAUAGAUGUCGCAUUUGAUCACUCGUCGUCGGGGUGUGACCAAUGCACCUCCCACAUUAUCAGCAUCUACUGCUCCAUGCGUGAGUGCUCCAUUGAAUGGGGAGCCUACUCCCUUUAUUGAGGCUACUCCUACGGCGUCCCAGGUGCCUGUCUCAUCGACGUCAUUAGUGUCCGUUCACCCGCUCAGUGCACGGAGGCCUCACCGGCGCCGCCGCGAGCCGGACCCUUCUGAUCACACUUCCUCAGCAUCCAGAGUUGAGGGUGAGGCCUCCCAGCCAGGUAGUUUUUUUUCUAAUUCUCGAUCACUACGUUGUAUUUUUUUUUUCAUUUUAAAAUUAUUAUUUUUAUGAUGCUGAAAAUUUGCUGGAUUGUGAAAAUGUGUUGUGGGUUGUGAAUUACUGUUAUUUUAAUAUUUUAAGGUUUUGGGAAAUGCUAUAAUAUUAGGGGAAGUUAUGUCGAAUUUUCUGUGCAAAUUUAAGCUUAGGGUUUUCACCAUUUAAGUAUUUUUGGCCAGCUAAAAAAAAUUAGGGGGCCUAGUCGAAUGCUGAAGCUAGCACAGAGUGUACGUCUGACUGGCUCCAAGAUCAAGAUUUAGUAUGACCUGGUACAUCGUGGAGCUGCUACAGCACCACAGCAUAGCAUCGUCGUUAGUAGAUGUGGUGUUGUUAUUAAACAAAAUUGUCCUAUGUAGUGGGAGAAGUGGGCAGAAAUUCCCUAUAGGACGAAGGAUUUGGUGCGAGACAAGUUGUCGGUCAUUUUUUAUCUUGAUGAUAUAUCCCCCAAGGUCAAGGCCUACUUAGAUGAGACCUUAGUAACCCGGUACAAACAUUGGAAGAACUAUCUUCACAUGCAUUUUAAGCUAUGGGAUACUCCGGAGAUUGCUUGCCUAAGUGGUUGCCCAAGUGAGUUGAAGGACGGGGCAGAGGAUUGGGAGUGGCUCUGCAAACAUUUUACGGUCCAAAAUUUGUGAAGAAAUAUGUUGCUGGCAAGAUAGCUCGGGAGUCAAAGACACUUCUUCACCAUUUCGGUUUGAAGCCCUUUUCGUAUAGGCUUGAGGUACGACGUCAGGAGGGUUCUAAGUUCCCAGAGAUCGACAUGUUCGAGGACGUUUACGUUCGACCUGGAGAUGCGAACACUAAGCAUCUUCAUCGCACUGCUGUUAUCCAAGAAGCAACAUCGCAGCUUCCCCCUGAGACCCCGAUUGAGGACGUCCCGGUACCCGAGGAUGCAAGUUUUCAGAUCCUGACUGAUGUCCUGGAUUAGAACCUCGGUCGUCGUCACAGCAAGGUUGUUUGGGGCAUGGGGAAAGCACGAGUUCGUGAGACUAGUGCCUCUUCUUCCAGAUCGAACACCGCAGAGGUCGAUUCAUUGAAGGAGCAAGUAACAACCCUACAGGGUCAGCUUCAGGUCCAGGGCGAGCAGCUGCAGGCCUAUGUUGGCCACAUGAGAGACCUUGUACGAGCCAUACAGAUGACUGGCCUCCAAAUCUCGCUACCAAUGCCUAAUCUUGCUACACCUUCGACUUUCGAGCCACUUCACCCUACUGAUACCUAGUAGCCAUUUCACCAAGAAGAUUACUUGUAGUUUUUUUCUUUUUCAUUCAGACAUAUACAAUACA